CAGCAGCCGCCGCGGUAAUACGAAGGGCGCAAGCGUUACUCGGAAUUACUGGGCGUAAAGCGUGCGUAGGUGAUGGUUUAAGUCCGUUGUGAAAGCCCUGGGCUCAACCUGGGACUUGCAGUGGAUACUGGGUCACUAGAGUGUGGUAGAGGAUAGUGGAAUUUCCGGUGUAGCAGUGAAAUGCGUAGAGAUCGGAAGGAACAUCUGUGGCGAAGGCGACUAUCUGGGCCAACACUGACACUGAGGCACGAAAGCGUGGGGAGCAAACAGGAUUAGAUACCCCGGUAGUCCCUGUCUCUUAUAC
rnacentral:rRNA from 1 species